rnacentral:lncRNA from 1 species
AUUUUCGUCAUGAAAAGGACCUUAAGCUCAAACAAAUGUAAGAUUUUAGAUUUGAAUGCUAAAAAUCAAGGUUUCGGGAUCAAUUGCAAUAUACCCUGUAAGUUUCAGGACAUCUUUACGAAGAAAAUAUAAACAAUCAUCUAACAAACACGCCCCUUUUUCCAGAAUCCGAAUCAAUUCCAAUUUCACAUCCGUUUUGAGUCAAGAAAAUAAUCAAUAUAGGAAGCACAGUAUACGAAACUACCCGAGAGAAGGACUUCGACCUCGGCCGCAGACCCUUAAUCCUACAACCACAGUGGAUGGGCCAAUCAUCUUCCAGAUCCAGACCCAGAUCAGUCAAUCCCGCCGUGAUCCCUCCAUUGCCGGCAGAUUCUGAUAAACCAGGUGACUUCACUUCUGACACGGAUGACGCCAUCAGUGGGAAUGACUACACGUUGAACCUGCCAGACGAAUGUCUGGCCUGCAUUUUCCAGUCGUUAUCCUCCGGGGACCGGAAUCAGUCGGCCCUGGUGUGCCGUCGGUGGCUAAGAAUCGAUGGCCAGAGCCGAUACCGCCUGUCGCUGAAUGCUAAGUCUGAGCAUACAUCCGUUAUCCCAAAAUUAUUCUCGCGCUUCGACUCUGUCACUAAGCUCGCGCUGAAGUGCGACCGUAAAUCAGUCAGCAUAGGCGACGAUGCAUUGAUUCUGAUUUCUUUGAAGUGUAGGAAUCUCACCAGGUUGAAGCUCCGUGCCUGUCGAGCCAUAACUGAUGAUGGAAUGGCCGCUUUUGCCAGAAACUGUAAUAGUUUGCGCAAAUUCUCGUGUGGAUCUUGCAGUUUCGGGGCCAAAGGCAUGAAUGCCUUGCUGAAUAAUUGUGAGUCCCUGGAAGAAUUGUCGGUGAAGCGAUUGUCUGGUGUCGCGGAUGGUGUUGGGGUCGAGCCCAUCGGACCGGGAAAGGCUGCUGGUUUGAAAGUUCUUUGUUUGAAAGAUCUUUACAAUGGGCAGUGUUUCGGGCCUUUGAUUAUUGGGUCGAAUAACUUGAGGUGUUUGAAGCUGUUCAGAUGUUCUGCUGAUUGGGACAGUUUGUUGCUAGUGAUAGCACAUCGGAUUACUGGGCUUGUGGAGCUUCAUCUGGAAAAGCUUCAAGUAAGUGAUCUCGGGCUCUCAGCCAUUUCGAGUUGUGUGAAUCUUGAAAUAUUGCAUUUAGUGAAACUCCCUGCUAGUACUAAUGCUGGACUUAUGGCUGUUGCGGAAAAAUGCAAUCUGAUAAGGAAACUGCAUAUUGAUGGAUGGAAAACAAAUAGAAUAAGUGAUGAUGGAUUAAUUGCCGUUGCAACUCAUUGUCCUAGUUUGCAAGAGCUGGUUCUGAUUGGUGUGAAUCCCACGAGGUUGAGUUUAGAGAAGUUGGCUAUACAUUGUCAGAACUUGGAAAGAUUAGCACUGUGCGGGAGUGAUACCAUUGGGGAUGCAGAGAUAUCUUGCAUAGCUUCAAAGUGUAUUGCAUUGAAGAAGCUGUGCAUAAAGAGUUGUCCAGUAUCGGACCAUGGCAUGGAAGCUUUGGCUGGUGGGUGUCCCAAUUUGGUGAAAGUGAAGUUUAAGAAAUGUAUGGGAGUGACUUCUGAGGGAGCGGAUUGGUUGAGAGCAAGUAGAGGCUCUCUUGCUGUGAAUUUGGAUGCCCCAGAGCCAGAAAUACAGGAUGCCAGUGCUAGUGACCAAGAAGCUAGUGGUAUUGAAAUUCCACAAACAGAUGGCCAAAAUAGGGGUAUUAAUACUGCUUCAAGCUGUAGCUGGAGACCAAUGUCUUUUAAGGCGAGGCUAGGGCUUUUAAGAGGGAGGAGCUUGGUGGCUUCCACACUGAGGCGAUGGUCAAGUUUUGGUGGCAGUUGCCAUAAUAAUUUGGAAAGGAGUUGAGACGGAUUUGCGAUGGGCAAGUUCCAUGGUUGGUCUAUUCACAUUAUUCUCCACUGGAGUUCAGUAUAUUUAUUUCUGUGUGCUGUUGAAUGCUAUUCUGGAAUCUCCAUUAUUGGGAAUUGUCAGAGUUCCACUCGUGUGCUUGUAUGUCUGAUUUGUAUGAAGGGAUGCCUCUUUACGUGAUAGUUGGGAACUACUGUGUUUGCUUCCUUAGUUUGAAUAGGAAGGAGGACAUGGCCAACACUCUCUUUAUACCUAGACUUGUGUAUUAUCCUUAGCUGACUAACAUGUUUUAAAGCAUCCAGUUUACGACUUGCUGUCACAGGCUUUAUUCUUGUCCUAAGUUUGGUUGCGGAAACAUGUCACGGCGUCAAUGAUGCAAUGAUAUGUCAAAUAGUUGGAUGUCAACCCUUUAUGUUUCUAUUUCUUUCAGAAUGUUGAUCAUCAGAACAAAAUGAAUCAGUUUUCUGCACUACAUUUUCUUAAUACCAAUCUUUUCAUAUAUGAUCGUGUAAUGAAGUUGUAAAUCAUUGUGGAAUGAAAUUAUAUGUGUUGUGCAGAUCAAAUCUUUCACCAGUGAUCUUUGUAUGAAAGUUGUUGCCUAUUUUCUUUGUACAAGGAUAGCCUUAUACAAUAUAAUUCAGUUGUGUGACCUUGUUUUUCUGCUCACUAAAUGAAUUGCUAACAGAGGAAUUAAACUGAGUGGAUAUAUGAGAUGAUAAAGUAGUUGUUAUUUGGCCUCUGGAGUUCAAUUUAAGCUGCCAGUUUGACUGUUGUACCAUAUGGUAAUGAGAAGGAUAGCUAGAUGUCACACAUUUGUUUUGGAAGCAAUUUUUCUUUUAUGGUCAACUACUAGGUGUUUGAUUAUUAGGCUUGUAUUACAAGAACUGACUGAUCUUUAGCUACUAAACUAAUUUUGCAGGAUGUUAUUUUAAAGAAUGUUUGGGAUGUGUUUAUAAAUGGUUAAAUUAUAAAUAGAUAAACGAGUGGUGUAUAAAAGAGUUUGGUCAUAAAUAUAAAUGGUUCAUUACUACAUUUACUAUACAUGCCAAAGAAACUAAAUCUUUAGAAACCACAAGAAGCUAUAAUAGACUUGGCCGACCAUUCCUUCUACUAUCUUAUGCUGAGACACAUCACUUUGAUGAAAGAGAGCCUCAAAGUCUCAACCAUCUAUAUCAUCAUUUCCCCGUCACAAUGUAGAGGUUAGAGAGAGAAGCUCAAACUCUCACUAGAGUUUUCCUUGUGCAUUUGUGAGCUCAUAGAUUCUUGUUCGAUUUCACCUUUACUCCUUGGUAAUUUCGAAUAUAAUAUUGUAGAUUUUGUUAAAAUCUGUCCAAAUUCAAGUGUUAGCUUCAAAGAUCAAUUUUCUUGAAGCAUUAUAGACCAGUCUGUUCAAAAACUAGAGGCAGGUUCAAGGCCUGUUGGCCAGCUGCUUGUUUUGAUUCUUUAAAAGCUACCUGCUUCAUUAAACUCCAGGCAGCCACCUCACCAGCAGCCUGCUUGUUUUAAUGCCAGGUAACAUCUCAAUCUUUUGUGCCAGUGGCUUGUCUGAAGGCCAGGCAGCACUUAAGUCCUGUCCAAAUUCAAAAGGUAAGCUAUGAAGUUUUCGAGCUUCUUGUAGUCUUGAAGUUGGUGAAAAUUUCGAAGUGUAGGUUUAUGCAUCCAGUUUCUUUUGUGUUUGAAGCUUUAAUGGCUGAGUCCAGCUUCUUGGCAAAGUUGAUUUUCCUUGAAGGUAAGUUCGGCCAGUUAUGUGCUGUCCCAGAUGGUAAAUUAAAACGGUGGCAGCAGUAAUGCAGCAAUGUUGACCGUUUUUAAGCAGUAUUUUAUUUGCCCAUAUUGGCAAAAAAUUUCAGAAAUUGGUGCUGUUCAAGCCAGUUCAGUCCAUUAAUGUCUGGAAAUUAUGUUCUUAAAGAUCCAGGUCAGUUUAUUAGCAGAUGUUCUUCCGGCCAGCAGGGUGCUUGUUUGGGUAUCUUUCAAGAUUUAAAACCUAGUUGAAGGUUUGGAACCUGGUCAGCAGCCAGCCUGUCCAAAGUUUUUUGUUCGUAAAGGUGAAGCUACUGGCCACUCAAAGUUGUUUCUUGUUCACUAGUAGCCUGCUUGGUAUUAAAACCUGCCCAGCAGAUUGAUGCAAGUUCGCUCAAUUUCUUGGUACAUCUCUUUAAUGUUGUUCGAUUUUAGACUGCUGUAUCGAAUAUGUUAAAAUUUAGUUGAAUUCAGGGUAUUGAUCAGUUUGUCACAGUUCUAGGUUGUUGGCAGAUUUCUUCACUCUUUGUUUGAAUAUUUUCCUGGCCUCGGUCGAAGUUCAAAUCCAGCUUAACUCCUUGAAACCUGACCAACAGCUUUUGUGCUUUUUUCAUCCAGUUUCCUUGACUGUUUCGACCUUGUUUGAGAAUCACUGAAUCAGGUGAGUUUGGUCAGAUUUGCUUCAGCUUCGUUCUUGUUGGCAGAUUUCUAGUUUUCUAAUUCCUCUCACCCCCCAAUUGAAAAUUUUGAAUCUUCCAGCCGACCUUGCAAUGGUACAACACUUUUUUUCCCCCUUUCUUUUUACAAACACUACCAUGUCUUGGCAGUACACUUGAUUUGGCCAAAAUUCAAAAAAUUACCCCCAACAGUUUUAUUUUGAAUUCUUGCCUUUUUUAUCUAUUAUAUGUUCAGGCACAAUCCAUACACUUACCAUGCAAGCAUAUGAGGCUUGUUUCCAGCAUAUCCUCCAACCAGCUUGCUUGGGAUUUUCAGUCUGGCAUUGAUAUGGUUAUUGCUCUUGAUAUUUGAUUAUGACCUUCAUCGAUUGGCAAUUUAAAUCCGUCCAAUCUUGAGGGUUAUCUUGGAGGAUUUUAAGGUCCUUGAUGCUGCGAUUUUCAGCAGUAUGGUUAUGUACUACUAUGGACAUAUUCAUUUUCCUAUCCCAUAGGAGGAUUUUGAAAUUGAUCAAUAGUUUGGCACUUCGUAUACUAGAUUAGCCCAAUUUGUAAUGUUUUGAUUCAUAUUCCUUCACUUGUUUGGAUCAUUGUAACGUCU